UCCAUAGGAACAUCACAUGUUCCGCUCCAAAGUAAUAAAGGUAUCCAUUGGAACAUCACAUGUUCCUCUCCAAAGUAAUGAAGGUAUCCAUUGGAACAUCACAUGUUCCUCUUCAAAGUAAUAAAGGUAUCCAUUGGAACAUCAAAUGUUCCUCUCCAAAGUAAUGAAGGUAUCCAUAGGAACAUCACAUGUUUCUCUCCAAAGUAAUAAAGGUAUCCAUUUGAACAUUACAUGUUCCUCUCCAAAGUAAUAAAGGUAUCCAUAGGAACAUCACAUGUUCCGCUCCAAAGUAAUGAAGGUAUCCAUAGGAACAUCACAUGUGUCUUACCAAUGUAAAUAAGGUAUCCAUAGGAACAUCCCAUGUGUCUUACCAAUGUAAAUAAGGUAUCCAUAGGAACAUCCCAUGUGUCUUACCAAUGUAAAUAAGGUAUCCAUAGGAACAUGGGGGCCUAGGUGGCCAAGUGGUCGAAGUAGUUACUACUGUAAUCACUAGCCAGUCAACACUGAGGUUGUGAGUUGGAACCCCGCUCGUGCGGGUGCACAUGACUCCAAUCUUAAUUGACUUAGGGUUGUCAGUUUUCCUAUUGAAGGUCAGUAGUUUUCUCCAGGCACUCUGGCUUCCUCCACCAGUACAAACUGGCCGCCAUGAAAUAGCCAAAGUAGUGCUUAAAAGUGGCGUUAAAACACCAAAAAAUCAAAUUCAAAUCCAUAGGUGCACUGCAUGCUCCAAAUUUACUGGUAUCUGAUAUCCAUUGGAAUCCAAAUUUAGCUGUUCAGUUUGUAUUGAUGACAGAUUGGCUUUACAAUGAACUUUGAACUCAAAGAAAUGGAUACACAUGUUUCAGAAAAGUAAGUUUGGUACCUAUAUCUCUUUUCACACUUUUGUUGUUUUUAAAUAAUUUGUAAAUUUUAUUGUAAAUGUAACAUAUUUAAGUUGUCAAAUUUUUGUGUAAAAAGGGGAAUGACCAUUUCAAAACUGUUUUUCAAUAUUUUUGUUAAAGAUUUUCAGGAGGAAACAGAAAAAUUAUUUAUGAAAAUGUGGAUAGUGUCAAAUGUGUAUAUAGUUUUAAGAAAAAUAGAAAAAAACAAAAAAAUGCAUGGGUGAUGGUUUUUAAUGAUUUUAAGAAAAAUAGAAAAAAAAAAAAUAUGCAUGGGUGAUGGUUUUUAAUGAUUUUAAGAAAAAUAGAAAAAAACAAAAAAAUGCAUGGGUGAUGGUUUUUAAUGAUUUUAAGAAAAAAAAAAAAAAAGAAAAAAAAAAAAUA